UUGACACUUGAAAAUUUAUAACUUUUAUGAAUUUAAUAUUUUAUUAAUUUCUUACUAUGUUUAAAAUUACUUGCAAUAGUAAACAUAUACUUAAAUAAAUUUCAGACUUUCUGUCUUCAGAUGUGACUUUUAUUCAACUAUCAGCACCAUGUACAAAAAACCCGACCUUCGACACUGGCUCGACAACUAUUUCACGCAUGGGCAGAAAGAUAUUAAAGCUGGAUCUACUUCGACACCAGUUUGACAGCUAUUUUGCACUUGCUCAAAAAGAAUAAAAAACAUUUUGAAAGUCCAAACUCCAGUGAUUCUAAUCCAGGACAUACUCCAGAUAUAAGACAAUACAUAAACCCUUCGAUGUUAGAAGAUCCAUGGAAAGAUUUGAUGGCAGAAAUAGAGGGAGGGAAAUGCCCUGAUAAGAGAUAAUGUAUCUUUUUGUAAACAGAAUGUUUUUACAUAAUACAAUGUAAAGAAUUUUAUUUUUUAUAGUACAAAAGUUUUUAACUACGUGUUUUUAAAGACUUAUAAGGUGCAUAUUGCUGUACUUGUACAAUGUACCCUGUAAAUAAAAUUUUAGCAUCACUCUGA